rnacentral:rRNA from 1 species
GACAGCUGAAUGAUAGUCGGGCUGAAGACUCUACUUGACUAGCUGAGAGGAGGUGCAUGGCCGUCGUCAGUUCGUACUGUGAAGCAUCCUGUUAAGUCAGGCAACGAGCGAGACCCACGCCAACAGUUGCUAGCUCGUCCUCCGGGAUGGAGAGGACACUGUUGGGACCGCUCUGCUAAAGAGGAGGAAGGGAAUGGGCAACGGUAGGUCAGCAUGCCCCGAAUUAUCUGGGCUACACGCGGGCUACAAUGGGUGGGACAAUGGGUAUCGACACCGAAAGGUGAAGGCAAUCUCCUAAACCCAUCCUUAGUUCGGAUUGUGGGCUGCAACUCGCCCACAUGAAGCUGGAAUCUGUAGUAAUCGUGUCUCAAAAUGGCACGGUGAAUAUGUCCCUGCUCCUU